GAUGAACGCUGGCGGCGUGCCUAAUACAUGCAAGUCGAGCGAACAGACGAGGAGCUUGCUCCUUUGACGUUAGCGGCGGACGGGUGAGUAACACGUGGGUAACCUACCUAUAAGACUGGGAUAACUUCGGGAAACCGGAGCUAAUACCGGAUAAUAUUUCGAACCGCAUGGUUCGAUAGUGAAAGAUGGCUUUGCUAUCACUUAUAGAUGGACCUGCGCCGUAUUAGCUAGUUGGUAAGGUAACGGCUUACCAAGGCAACGAUACGUAGCCGACCUGAGAGGGUGAUCGGCCACGCUGGAACUGAGACACGGUCCAGACUCCUACGGGAGGCAGCAGUAGGGAAUCUUCCGCAAUGGGCGAAAGCCUGACGGAGCAACGCCGCGUGAGUGAUGAAGGUCUUCGGAUCGUAAAACUCUGUUAUUAGGGAAGAACAAACGUGUAAGUAACUGUGCACGUCUUGACGGUACCUAAUCAGAAAGCCACGGCUAACUACAUG
rnacentral:rRNA from 1 species